GACGAACGCUGGCGGCACGCUUAACACAUGCAAGUCGAACGAGAGAAGAGAAGCUUGCUUUUCUGAUCUAGUGGCGGACGGGUGAGUAACACGUGAGCAAUCUGCCUUUCAGAGGGGGAUACCGAUUGGAAACGAUCGUUAAUACCGCAUAACAUAAUUGAACCGCAUGAUUUGAUUAUCAAAGAUUUAUCGCUGAAAGAUGAGCUCGCGUCUGAUUAGCUAGUUGGUAAGGUAACGGCUUACCAAGGCGACGAUCAGUAGCCGGACUGAGAGGUUGAUCGGCCACAUUGGGACUGAGACACGGCCCAGACUCCUACGGGAGGCAGCAGUGGGGAAUAUUGCACAAUGGAGGAAACUCUGAUGCAGCGAUGCCGCGUGAGGGAAGAAGGUUUUAGGAUUGUAAACCUCUGUUUUCAGGGACGAAAAAAGACGGUACCUGAGGAGGAAGCUCCGGCUAACUACGUGCCAGCAGCCGCGGUAAUACGUAGGGAGCGAGCGUUGUCCGGAAUUACUGGGUGUAAAGGGAGCGUAGGCGGGAUCGCAAGUCAGAUGUGAAAACUAUGGGCUUAACCCAUAAACUGCAUUUGAAACUGUGGUUCUUGAGUGAAGUAGAGGUAAGCGGAAUUCCUAGUGUAGCGGUGAAAUGCGUAGAUAUUAGGAGGAACAUCAGUGGCGAAGGCGGCUUACUGGGCUUUAACUGACGCUGAGGCUCGAAAGCGUGGGGAGCAAACAGGAUUAGAUACCCUGGUAGUCCACGCCGUAAACGAUGAUUACUAGGUGUGGGGGGACUGACUCCUUCCGUGCCGCAGCAAACGCAAUAAGUAAUCCACCUGGGGAGUACGACCGCAAGGUUGAAACUCAAAGGAAUUGACGGGGGCCCGCACAAGCAGUGGAGUAUGUGGAUUAAUUCGAAGCAACGCGAAGAACCUUACCAGGUCUUGACAUCGUAUGCAUAGCUCAGAGAUGAGUGAAAUCUCUUCGGAGACAUAUAGACAGGUGGUGCAUGGUUGUCGUCAGCUCGUGUCGUGAGAUGUUGGGUUAAGUCCCGCAACGAGCGCAACCCUUACUGUUAGUUGCUACGCAAGAGCACUCUAGCAGGACUGCCGUUGACAAAACGGAGGAAGGUGGGGAUGACGUCAAAUCAUCAUGCCCCUUAUGACCUGGGCCUCACACGUACUACAAUGGCUGUCAACAGAGGGAUGCAAAGUCGCGAGGUGGAGCGAACCCCUAAAAGCAGUCUUAGUUCGGAUUGUAGGCUGCAACCCGCCUACAUGAAGUCGGAAUUGCUAGUAAUCGCAGAUCAGCAUGCUGCGGUGAAUAAAAUCCCGGGCCUUGCACA
rnacentral:rRNA from 1 species